GGCUUGUCUGUUCUGGCCCCCUUGCCUGUCCUGUCUCUGCCCCCUUCCACUACUUCUGAGGUGGUCCUUUUUUACCUCCCGACAUGAUGACUUCACUCACCUUCGGGGGCUACCCAGGCAGGUGCAUACAUGCGACCAGGACAUUGGAAAGAGAACUUGACAUCAGCCAUGCUAAUUCGGGCAGUCAUGUCCUCAUCAAUCUGAGGAAGAGAAAACAGAUAGAAGGAGUGGUGACUCACGGGGCCGAGUGCGGGUGGUCCCCUUCCAGAAUGUGUCCUUGUAUGGAAUACGGUUGAGAUUCUGGCCCAUCUUCUCUGCCCGCUCUAGGGAAGAAAAACAACCUAAGCUGUGGUACAGAGGGAGAAGACAGAUGCUGACAAGGGCCCCAUUUGCCACCAGGUCCUGGAAUGAAAAGGCCAUUAUGAUGAG
ensembl:lncRNA novel transcript, sense overlapping TAF10